UACGUGUCUCACCAUCACGAACUCACAUAACAAGAGGACUCUCUUCAACCUCAGUCAUGAAGAAAAAUUUCCUUCUAGACUGAGAAAUAGAGAAAAAAAAAGCUUAUAGCAGAUCGCUAGCUUUCAAACAAUUGUUGUACGCAGCAAAAGUGGAGACAGUCUAAUUUUUUCUUCAGCUUUGAGAAUGACUGAGAUUGAUAUUUUAAGAAAAAAAUUGAGAUCUUUUGGGUACAUUUGGUGAAAUGGAAAAUCAGAAAAUCUCUGGACUCUUAAAAGAUGGUUUUAUGGUGACGAAACCCAGGGUGCGCAAGGGAGUUAUUGGCAACAAUCUAGGAAGAGAAGGCUUGUUGGAUUCUGUAACGAUCAGUAACGAAUAUAACGGUAUUCAUAUGUCGAUUUUAGAAGGAAACUUGGAGAUUGGCCAGAAAAAUGAGGUUUACAUAGAGAAUGUAGUUAGCAGGGGGGCUGUGGAUGAAGGCGAUGACACGUUGCAGUUGCACAAAUCUCAUUUGCUGAGAAAGACGGGAGUUUCUGAUAAAG